CUUUUUUUUCUCCUCACGGACCUGUGCCCAGUGCUCCUCUGUCGCCCAGCUCGUGCUUGCACUUGUAGGGUAGCUAGGGUUGAUGUGCUGAGGCAGUUCGGCAACCAAGGAGCCAUCCAGGACUUUUUAACAGGAGUUCUUCCAUGAUGUCAAUUUCCAGCCGACAAGUCACCAGAAGAACCGAACUCUGGCGUGAACCUCGUUCGCCGCAAGGCUUGAGCUUGGGGAGGGCCAGAUGAUGUAGGGGAAGUCAUAUUCCAAUCCGUUCGCCGAGGACGUCGUCCUAUGAGGCUGGGGGAAACCAUGACAAUUGCCACAUUU
rnacentral:sRNA from 1 species